AGAGUUUGAUCCUGGCUCAGGAUGAACGCUAGCGACAGGCUUAACACAUGCAAGUCGAGGGGCAGCAUGAUUUGUAGCAAUACAGAUUGAUGGCGACCGGCGCACGGGUGAGUAACGCGUAUGCAACUUACCUAUCAGAGGGGGAUAGCCCGGCGAAAGUCGGAUUAAUACCCCAUAAAACAGGGGUCCCGCAUGGGAAUAUUUGUUAAAGAUUCAUCGCUGAUAGAUAGGCAUGCGUUCCAUUAGGCAGUUGGCGGGGUAACGGCCCACCAAACCGACGAUGGAUAGGGGUUCUGAGAGGAAGGUCCCCCACAUUGGUACUGAGACACGGACCAAACUCCUACGGGAGGCAGCAGUGAGGAAUAUUGGUCAAUGGCCGAGAGGCUGAACCAGCCAAGUCGCGUGAAGGAAGAAGGAUCUAUGGUUUGUAAACUUCUUUUAUAGGGGAAUAAAGUGGAGGACGUGUCCUUUUUUGUAUGUACCCUAUGAAUAAGCAUCGGCUAACUCCGUGCCAGCAGCCGCGGUAAUACGGAGGAUGCGAGCGUUAUCCGGAUUUAUUGGGUUUAAAGGGUGCGUAGGUGGUGAUUUAAGUCAGCGGUGAAAGUUUGUGGCUCAACCAUAAAAUUGCCGUUGAAACUGGGUUACUUGAGUGUGUUUGAGGUAGGCGGAAUGCGUGGUGUAGCGGUGAAAUGCAUAGAUAUCACGCAGAACUCCGAUUGCGAAGGCAGCUUACUAAACCAUAACUGACACUGAAGCACGAAAGCGUGGGGAUCAAACAGGAUUAGAUACCCUGGUAGUCCACGCAGUAAACGAUGAUUACUAGGAGUUUGCGAUACAAUGUAAGCUCUACAGCGAAAGCGUUAAGUAAUCCACCUGGGGAGUACGCCGGCAACGGUGAAACUCAAAGGAAUUGACGGGGGCCCG
rnacentral:rRNA from 2 species